rnacentral:lncRNA from 10 species
UCACGAAGGUAGAGGGUAGAGCACACCCCUUCAAUGCACUGAGGUGCCGUAAGGCUCCAACGCCAGAGGCGGCCGGUUGGAAUUUAGUUCAAUCACGCGUUUGUUAUGAAAACUCUGACAAGCUUCAGCUCUAAAGUAAGCUUGGAAACACAAAGAAACUCUGAGAAAAAUACCAAACACACACACACAAACACACACACACACACUCACUCCUCUCUUUUUAGCUGGGCAUAGAAAAUGUAAGUGUACCAACAAGCAACCUCCAAAGAGCAAAUGACACAGAAAAUUCAAACGAGCGCCUGGUAGGAGUUGUAACUUCAACAAAGUGCCUCUCAUAUCUGCCUCAUAAACCCGUACUCAUUUUUCACAACUAACUCACAUAGCACCUCCUCAGUGACACCUUUCCUGUUCUGCCCACCAGAUAUACCUGCGGACCAAGCGUAGUCUCUCACCCAGAACACAGGGCACCUUAUACAGGGGGCUCUGUCUACAGGGGGCUCUAUGCUUUGACAGGAACUGUGGACCUAUGGGCAGCGGUUUUUCAAAUCAUGUUUGUGGCUCUCAUUACAAUUGUCCUGCCUCAGGCACCCAGCAGGCGGUAAUAAAUGCUGGUUGAACACUAAAACCUUGGAAUGCUACAUCAUUGUUCUAAAGGAUAGUCAUUUUUUAAAACAUUUUGGAAGUUCUUUUGAAACUGACUUUUUAGAUUAUGAAAAUAUCUCAGUGAUAGGUUUUGGUUUUCCAAGUUAGACCUUAUUUUAUUUUAGAAACUGUCAAAAGUUAUACAAAACCAAGCAUGUAUCUCUGUGCGUUUUGUUUUCUCUUCUCCCUUACUGCUAAGGAAGGGUUUCUUCUCUUUUCUAGGCCAAAUGCUCCACAAAUGAAUGUGUUAACAAAUGAACAAAUUAAUAAAUGACACGAAUGGGAGCUCAAACUGCAUAAAAGUAUAUUUACUCAAAAAUGGGAGGUGACGAUUGCUAACAUGUCAUAACCAGACUCUGUCAUGACCUCGGCAAGCCACAACAUUGACAAUAAAGAGGAAAGAGGAUCAAGUCCCUAAAUACCCAGGUGAACUAAGACCUUCCCACGUGCCCGAAGAAGAUACACUUGCAGAGGAGAAAUGAUGAUGCAGGGGCCUGCUCCGAGAUGCAGGAGGAAGUUUAAUUGCCUGUGAAUUUCACUGGGAAGGAAGGGAUGAAACGAGGUUUGAAAGGAAAUAGAGAUUGUUAAACUCCUGACUAGGCGAUAACUGCCGUCCUUCUCUUCUAUCUGCCCCUGUGACUAGGCGAUAACUGCCGUCCUUCUCUAAUAUCUGCCCCUGUGACUAGGCGAUAACUGCCAUCCUUCUCUUCCAUCUGCCCCUGUGACUAGGCGAUAACUGCCGUCCUUCUCUGCUGUCUGCCCCUACCUUGGGCCCCAAAUGGCUCAGCACUAAAGUGCCUUGAGCAGGCUCCAGCCCAAAGGUGGCCUCCAUGGUUACCACUUCCCACUCUGCUGCCCUGCCUCGCUUUCCUCCUCGGCCUUCCCGGAUGGAUGACCGAUGUCAUUCCCAGGUUCCCUAACACUCAAGCCUAGCCCCUCAGUUUCUAGCAAGCAUCAAGCUUCACUGUGUGUCUAGCCUCUCAGGAGUCAGACCUGAGAAGUAUAGCUUGGUGGAAAUUCAGUGGCAGGGAAGAAAGAAGGAAGGAAAGAAGACUCUGAGCUGGAUUCAUACACAUCAUCGCAAUUCAUCCACACCACAGUCCUGUAAGAAGGCUGCAAAACAUACAGCAGAAAGGAUGGCUUGAAGGCAAUUGAUGUUUGUAAAAAAAUCCACAACAGGAUCCAAGCUGAAGAGGUGAACACGUCAGCCUGGUGGGACAAUUCUCAGCAUGUGCAAACAUAGGUCACGCCGAAGCAAGAGUUGGGCUCUCAUGGCCUUGGGCAACAGGGGUGCCUGUUGAUUUGCAGGGUACAGCCCUUCUCCUGGCUGCUUUCACAGGCUGGUGCUGAGUGUCUGUGGCUUUUCCAGGCAUACGGUGCAAGCUGUCAGUGGAUCAACCAUUCUGGAGUCUGGAGGAUGGUGGCCGUCUUCUCUCAGCUCCACUAGGCAGUGCCCCAGUGGGGAUGGUGUGGGGGCCCACAUUUCCCUUCUGCACACAUUGCCCUAGCAGAGGUUCCCCAUGAGGGCUCUGUCCCCGUCACAAAUUUGUGCCUGAACACCCAGGCAUUUCCAUGCAUCCUCUGAAAUUUAGGCGUAGAUUCUCAAACCUCAAUUCUUGACUUCUGUGCACCCACAGGCCCAACACCUCGUGUAAGCUGCCAAGGCUUGGGGCUUGUACCCUCUGAAGCCAUGGCCUGAGUUGUACAUUGGCCCUUUAGCCAUGAUUGGGACACACGGCACCAAGUCCUGAGACUGCACAGAGCAGCAAGGCCCUGCACCGGGCCCAUGAAACCAUUUUUUCCUCCUAGGCCUCCUGUCCUGUGAUGCCUUGAGCUACUGUGAAGGUCUCUGACAUACCCUGAAGACAUUUUCCCAUUGUCUUGGUGAUUAACAUUCAGCUCCUCGUUACUUAUGCAAAUUUCUACAGCUGGCUUGAAUUUCUCUCCAGAAAAUGGGUUUUCCUUUUCUGUCUCAUCAUCAAGCUGCAAAAUUUUUUAAACCUUUAUGCUCUGCUUCCUCUUGAACACUUUGCUACUUAGGAAUUUCUUCUGCCAGAUACCCUAAAUCAUCUAUCUCAAGUUCAUAGUUCCACAGACUUCUAGGGCAGGGGCAAAAUGCCGUCAGUCUCUUUGCAUAGUAAGAGUCACCUUUACUACAGUUCCCAAAAAGUUCUUCAUCUCCAUAUGAGACCACCUCAGCCUGGACUUCAUUGUCCAUGUCACUAUCAGCAUUUUCCUCAAAACCAAUCUGCAAGGCUCUAGGAAGUUCCAAACUUCCUCACAUUUUUCUGUCUUCUUUCAAACCCUCCAAACUGUUCAAACUCUGCCUGUUACCCAGUUCCAAAUUCACUUCCACAUUUUUAGGUAUCCUUAUAGCAACACCCCACUACCUCAGUGCCAAUUUACUGUAUCAGUCCAUUCUCAUGCUGCUAAUAAAGACAUACCCAAGCUGGGUAAUUUAUAAAGGAAAGAGGUUUAACUGACUCACAGUUCAUCAUGGCUGGGGAGGCCUCAGGAAACUUACAAGCAUGGCAGAAUGCAAAGGAGAAGCAAGUCACCUUCUUCACAAGGCGGCAGGAAGGAGAAGUGCAAGCAAAGGGGGAAAAGCUCCUCAUAAAACCAUCAGAUCUUGUGAGAACUCACUCACUAUCAUGAGAACAGCAUGGGGGUAACUGCCUCCAUGAUUCAAUUACCUCCCACUGGGUCCCCAUCAUGAUAUGUGAGGAUUAUGGGAACUACAAUUCAAGAUGAGAUUUGGUUGGGGACACAGCCAAACCAUAUCAUGGGGUCUCACUUUAUUGCCCUGGCUGAUUUCAAACUCCUGGGCUCAAGUGACCCUCCUGACUUGGCCUGCCAAAGUGUUGGGAAUACAGACAUGAGCUACCAUGCCCAGUCCUAAAGUCUAAAUUCUUAACAUCUAAAAUCCAGAAAAUCACAAUCACAGGAGAGUUGUACCACGUUAGUUGCAUCAUGUUAGGUACAACUCUUGCUUUGUUUUCUUCUUAUUUGGAAAUUAUGUAUGGUUUAAGGGGGUCCAUAUGGGUGCCAA